CUCCACCGCUUGUGUGAGCCCCCGUCAAUUCCUUUGAGUUUCAGCCUUGCGACCAUACUCCCCAGGCGGGGUACUUAGCACUUUAGCUCCGGCAGUAAACCCAUGUCAAGUCUACUACCUAGUACCCAUCGUUUAGGGCCAGGACUACCGGGGUAUCUAAUCCCGUUUGCUCCCCUGGCUUUCGCGCCUCAGCGUCAGAUCGGGUCCAGCAUGCCGCCUUCGCCACCGGAGUUCCUGUGGAUAUCAACGCAUUUCACCGCUCCACCCACAGUUCCGCAUGCCCCUACCCGCCUCGAGGCCUCCAGUAUUCGAGGCAGUUCUCCGGUUGAGCCGGAGGAUUUCACCUCGAACUUGGCGGCCCGCCUACGCGCCCUUUAAGCCCAGUUAUUCCGAACAACGUUCGCUCGGUUCGUCUUACCGCGGCUGCUGGCACGAACUUAGCCCGAGCUUCCUCCAGGGAUAGAUCACGCCUUGCGGCCUUUCUCCCCCUCGACAGUGCUUUACA
rnacentral:rRNA from 1 species